GCGGAAGUGGCGGAAUUGGUAUACGCGCUACCUUGAGGUGGUAGUGAGGGUUUCCUCUUGGGGGUUCGAGUCCCCCCUUUCGCA
rnacentral:tRNA from 1 species